CAGAAGGACUCUAGCAAUACAAUGAGAGGAGGGCCAGGUACCCACCCAAUUGAAAUAGAAAGUCUGAUUUAACAGGUUAUUCUUAUCUAUCCAGGUAGGGAUUUCUUCAGUAUACAACAACAAUCAGUCAGCAAUAAGCAAAUCUGAAUAAAUUAGAACCCUUUACUGUUAUCGACAUGCAGUUCUCAGUUAUUGAUUAUUGUUAGCAUAUCAACAGCCAAGACUGGAUUUCUGGAGGCACCCAAAGAGACAAUCCGCAGCCCCCUGUGUCUGUGCAGUUACCAGCCAGCCUCCCUGAGAACUUUUCACUGAAACACCAGAGAAAAUGAGAUUUUGGCUCCAUUUACUUUUCCUUGUGGCAGCUCUGGAAGGGGCCCGGUCACAGGUUGUUCUGACCCAAUCCGGUCCAGAAAUUAAGAAACCCGGAGAAUCCACUCAGUUGAAAUGCGCCGUGAGCGGGUUCGCUGUCUCCAGUUAUUACAUGGCGUGGUUCAGACAGGAGCCGGGAAAGGGGCUGGAGUGGCUGGUCAGCUAUCACACACCUUCAUCUACAAACUACUACUCUGACAGCAUCCAGGGGCGAUUCACAGCCUCCAAGGACAGCUCCAAUUUCUACCUGCACAUGACCGGCCUGAGACCCCAGGACACCGCCGUGUAUUACUGCGCCAGAGACACACAGUGUCUAUUCCCAGGUCAGCCUGGUGCUGUCUUUGGGGGGAUGAAGACCCAGAGAGACCCUCAGACUGACUUGCACAGUGUGCAGAUUCUCUCUCACUAGCUACGCGGUGCACUGGGCCCGCCAGCCAGCGGGGAAGGGGCUGGACUGGAUGGGAGGUAUCUGGGGUGAUGGAAGCACUAACUAUAACGAUGCUCUCAAAAGUCGCCUCAGCAUCACCAGAGACACCUCCAAAGGCCACGUGUCCCUCCAACUGACCGGCCUGCAGCCCGGAGACACCGCGGUGUAUUACUGAGCUAGACACACACAGGUAAGGGACGGAAACCUAUCAGAGCCCGCACUAAAACCAACCGUGAGGGAACCAGCCUUCUGGACUCUGGAGUGACAGACAGAAUUAGCUGCCAACACAGCGUCCUUUCUGCUUGGUCAUUCGCUUCGUACAGAGUCCAUGGCAAGUUACAAGCACUUGUGAAUUUAGCGCCGUCUCAUCCAUAG